UACGUAGGGUGCGAGCGUUAAUCGGAAUUACUGGGCGUAAAGCGUGCGCAGGCGGUUUUGCAAGUCAGAUGUGAAAGCCCCGGGCUCAACCUGGGAAUUGCAUUUGAAACUACAAGGCUAGAGUGUGUCAGAGGGGGGUAGAAUUCCACGUGUAGCAGUGAAAUGCGUAGAGAUGUGGAGGAAUACCGAUGGCGAAGGCAGCCCCCUGGGCCUGCACUGACGCUCAUGCACGAAAGCGUGGGGAGCAAACAGG
rnacentral:rRNA from 1 species